rnacentral:tRNA from 1 species
CCCUAGAAAGCGAAAUACUCGCACUAAGUUUCGGCCUUAGCUUUGCUUUACAGCUCUAGGAU